rnacentral:rRNA from 1 species
CAAUAAGCGGAGGAAAAGAAACCAACAGGGAUUGCCUCAGUAACGGCGAGUGAAGCGGCAACAGCCCAGAUUUGAAAUCUGGCCUUCUGGCCCGAGUUGUAAUCUGUAGAUGAGUCUUUGGGUUACGUGCCGUCCAAGUCCCCUGGAAUGGGGCGCCAUAGAGGGUGAGAGCCCCGUACCGACGUGCGCCGCGCCUGUUUAAAGCUCAUUCGAAGAGUCGAGUAGUUUGGAAAUGCUGCUCUAAUUGUGGGGUAAAUCUCCCAUAAGGCUAAAUAUUGGCCAGAGACCGAUAGCGCACAAGUAGCGUGAGCGAAAGAUGAAAAGAGCCUUGAAUAAGGGCGUCAAAAAGUAUGUGAAAUUGUUAUGGGGGAAGCGCUUAGUGCCAGACGUGGUGGCGGUUGGUUACCCGGUGUUCCUCACCGGCGCACUCUUCCGUCGCCAGGCCAGCAUCGGUUCGGCUUGGGGCUCAAUGCUGCAGGGAACGUGGCUCUUCGGAGUGUUAUAGCCUUGUAGCGACGUCCCGGACCGGACCGAGGUUCGCGCAUCUGCUCGGAUGCUGGCGUAAUGGCCCUCAGCGACCCGUCUUGAAACACGGACCAAGGAGUUGACCUAGCACGC